GGAUAAAUGUGCUCAGCUUCAGACAUGUACCACCUUUAAGAAAAAAGGAAGUGUCAAUCCCAGAGACAAGUUGGAGCCUGAGAUUCAGAGCAUUCUGUCUUUGAACCUAAUGGGUUUCCCCAGAUUGAUAAUCAAAUUGUUUCUUGUUGGUGAUGCACUUCUCAAUUACACUGUAUUUCUUCUGGCAUAGGAAUGUCAGUACCUGUUAUGUUAUGGUUACCAUGCAGAAGCAUUCAGAAGAACAAAAAUGGUUUUCUAGAAAUGCAGGUCGGCUGAUGGAGAGCGUUUCACCCCCGGAUGGAAGGUUGUUCAUCUGCAGAUACAGCGUGUUCUUGGAGUUAUCUCUGGAGAUGGGGAAUCGGCCCUUCAUGGAGUCUGCGUAGCUUGUGCUACUUCCAUCAUCAUAAAUAUAUGCGAGCCAGUGCAGCCCCUUUCCUGGAGCCUGGCGAACCCAGCUCAUUCCAUAGCUACUGAAGGUGAAUCCAGAGGCUACACAGACAAUAAGAACAUGGCCUCUGCCACUGACCAGCCUUGCCACCCUUUCUACAGAAUAUGGGACGCUCAUCAGGUCUUCAGAGAGCACCGAGUGCCACCUCGCUGAGAAAGACCUUAUGAUGAACUCCUAACCGACUACACUACCAUCAGAAUUAGGGAAAGAUUCCUCUGGAUUCACGCAAGCUGCACAAAAUAGUUCCAGAUCACCAUUGUCAAGACUGUGGAUGACCAUCCCCAUGAUGACCAUUGGUAAGGAUUCCCAGAGCCAAUUCCCAGGCUCCGGAAGCACAUGGCAUCACAUAGGAGGUCAUGGAUCAAAAAACUGCAUUUCCACCUAGUUUCAUUUUCCGGCUCUUUCCUGUCAGGAAAAAAAAAAAUUUUUAAAAUGGAGCCUACCCUUUCCCCCACUAUUAAAAGACUGACUACAUUUCCUGCUCUCCCUCUGGACCUCUAUGACUGUCUGUCUUCAGACUGCAUCUGCCCCAUUCACCUGUGUAGUUAUCUCAGCAGGUCAGACACAGACCCCUACACAGGUUUUCCAAGUCCUGUCUACAUUAAAUAAUCAGUCUGAUUGUCAAUUUUUUUUGACAUCAGGAUAGCAAGUAUGUCCCAAAGUAGUGUUAUUUCCUGACAAUGCAAGCAGGUGAACGCACCAUGUGGAUGGACAAAUGGAAGGGUGUGGUAUCCACAACCAGCACGACAAUGUCACUAUGCCUUUCCUUCCACUGCAUUGAUUGGGACCACAACUUUGAUGGAAGCUUCAGGAUGGUCCUUUGCUCAGGUGAAGUAUUGGGAGAGAAUAUUUCCCUUUGUAUGAAGACAGUCAUGGUGCUGGUUUCUCUCUCUCGGUGACAUAGCAAGGCAACCUGGUGCCAGAUGGUCACUAGGUGCUCCAGCAUAACCCCCAUGGCACAAACACUUUCCAGAUCCCAAAAUGUUUCAUUGGCACUCAGACUACCUGUGUAUCAAGUGGCAUAGCUCAGCCACUUCCAGGUAAGGCUGCCUAACAGCACAAGUCAUAUGAGAGUAGACCGAAAAUCUGGAGUAGCUCAUUCAGGUGACAAAACCCACCUUAUAGCUGCUGAAGGGCUGCAGGCCUCCCAUGUCUCACAAACUUUCAGGAAUGCAUGAUAAUUGACCAGUGACCGUGACCCUCAAUUGCCCAGACCAGUGGGAACUCAUGACAGGCUCUACAUGAGCUGGUCAGGCUAACAUCUUGGCACUUUUUGGACUGUUAGGAAUUCCCAAGGCAGCAGGGUAGAGAUGUACAGGUUGAGAGCAGACUGUGGCUGGGACUCCUUGGUCAUCGAUGCUGAAUGGGACAUACUGGCUAGCUCAGUCAUGCAGAGUCUCCCCUGUGGCCCUUUAGAUACUUUCAACUGCCUAGACAGUCUUGAGAACGUGAGCCAUCUUAUGCACAGCUGGGAAUUUACAUUUCAGUAGUCAACUGUAAAGUGCCACCUGUUAGGAGGGGGCUUUAAUGCCCAUCAAGUGGGUAGACUGAAAGGAGAAAUGGUGUGUUUAAUGUCCCCCCUCCUUCAGUAAAUCUUGAAUUAUGGGGUGCAAUUUUUCAGUCCUCUAUUGCACACAAUAUUGAUGUACAUAUACUGUCUUAAUUGGAUGGGGGGGGGUGCAAUUUGCAGUCCUACAGAUUCCUGAUAUGUAGCUCCCCCCAGGAAAGCCAGGCACUGGGUUUGUUCCCACUGGCCUUGAUGGCAUGUGAGGGCAUCCACAUCAUUAACAAGACAAUACAUGGUCAAAGGGGCCACCUUUGCUAAAAGAGAUUCAGUAAAUAUUCUUCCAGUAGUGACAUCAAAGGGAUGUUGAGACCCUUCUACUAUCCCUCUAUUUAUACCUAGUAAGCUAAGGAGAACCACACUUAUAUUUGGAGGGGUUCUUGGGAAGCACUGUACCUUGGCUUCAGGGUCAUUGAGAGAAAUAAAGUGUUGUCUGUGUCUGUGUCCUACACGGUAAUUACAGAAGUGUAGAGGCAGUUGUCCCAGGAGGAAGGACAUACUCCACAAACCUCCGGAUCCCUAGGCAGGGGCCUUGGCAUCUCCCCACCACUGGGAUCCCAGCUCCCCACUACCAGGGCUGUCAUGUGCAGAGAAGUGAUGGUACCCACCUGAAGGAUAGGAACAGCAUUCUCUCGAAGAUCCCAAAGAGUCUGAUCAAAGUUUCUGACUUGUGUUCAGGCUGCCUGAGAUCAAGUCACUAGGGACCUCUCUUC